rnacentral:rRNA from 1 species
UACAGAGGGUGCGAGCGUUGUUCGGAAUUAUUGGGCGUAAAGGGCGCGUAGGCGGUGCGGUAAGUCACCUGUGAAAUCUCCUGGCUCAACUGGGAGCUUGCAGGCGAAACUGCCGUGCUGGAGUGUGGGAGAGGUGCGUGGAAUUCCUGGUGUAGCGGUGAAAUGCGUAGAUAUCGGGAGGAACACCAGUGGCGAAGGCGGCUCUCUGGGCCCUACCUGACGCUGAGACGCGAAAGCGUGGGGAGCGAACCGG